CCUACGGGAGGCAGCAGUGAGGAAUAUUGGUCAAUGGGCGGGAGCCUGAACCAGCCAAGUCGCGUGAGGGAAGACGGUCCUAUGGAUUGUAAACCUCUUUAGGCGGGGAGCAAUGCCGGGCACGCGUGCCCGGAGGGAGAGUACCCGCAGAAUAAGCAUCGGCUAACUCCGUGCCAGCAGCCGCGGUAAUACGGAGGAUGCGAGCGGUAUCCGGAUUGAUUGGGUUGAAAGGGUGCGUAGGCGGAUUUUUAAGUCAGCGGUAAAAUGUCCGGGCUCAACCCGGGCCGGCCGUUGAAACUGGGGAUCUUGAGUGGACGAGAAGUAUGCGGAAUGCGUGGUGUAGCGGUGAAAUGCAUAGAUAUCACGCAGAACUCCGAUUGCGAAGGCAGCAUACCGGCGCCCGACUGACGCUGAGGCACGAAAGCGUGGGGAUCGAACAGGAUUAGAUACCCCAGUAGUC
rnacentral:rRNA from 1 species